UACGAAGGGGGCUAGCGUUGCUCGGAAUGACUGGGCGUAAAGGGCGCGUAGGCGGUUUGCACAGUCAGGCGUGAAAUUCCUGGGCUUAACCUGGGGGCUGCGCUUGAUACGUGUGGACUGGAGUGCGGAAGAGGGUCGUGGAAUUCCCAGUGUAGAGGUGAAAUUCGUAGAUAUUGGGAAGAACACCGGUGGCGAAGGCGGCGACCUGGUCCGUGACUGAC
rnacentral:rRNA from 1 species